GUGCUCAGUUUGGUAGUACAUAUGGUAAAAUUGGAAGAAUACAGAGAAGAUUAGUAUGACCCCUGCCCAAGGAUGACAAGCAAAUUUGUGAAGUGUUCCAUAUUUUU